AAAGAAUAUGUUUUAUGAUUGCCAAGAGACUAAAUGACACAAAAAUUAACAACUAUAGGUCAUCAUAAUGCCCCAAAUAAUUAGAAAAGCCCCUGCAUAGUCAGCAAAGAUACCAGAGGGAGAGUCCCCGAAAUGCUGUGUGGCAGACAGUGUUAUUUAUAAAUUAUUAGCUCCCCUGGUAAAACUCCAAAUUUCAUAUUUAAUGUAUUUCAUUGUUAAAUAAUUUACAUGAAGCUUAAUAAGUAUAUAUUUGUUAAUUUUAUAGCUUUUGCUAUUUGAAUCCAUUGGUUAAAGAUAUUUAUUUAUAUUGUUAAGUUUAAUAUUUGCACCGAUGCAAAAUCUUUGGUUACCUUCUUUGGUUUCCUUCUGUCAGAAACUUAUAUAUUUUAUAGAUCACAAUGUAGAUUAAAUCAUCAAGUCAACGAGUCCCGUCUCAGUCUUUACAGCUAAACGGACGUGGUGGGCAAGCUCUCCUUUACCCGCUAUGAUAAAUGAGGGGUUACAGAUAGAUGAUCAACUACUGACUACUUUAGAUGACAGUAACCUAUCCAACGCAGUACAGUUAACGCAAAGGUUGGGCCGUCUCCCGCGUUAACAUGCACUCCAAAACCCAUUGUAUCAUGGGGAGUGUUAUGGCGAUUAACGUCCGAGGGCUGUAUCCUAGGUGUUAGAUGAUUGACCUUUAUUUCACUGCCUCACGGCUUUGGUCCUGAUAACGCUUCCUGUCAUCUUUAGAACUACGUCCAUGACUCAUCUACCAGUACUCCAUCGUC
rnacentral:lncRNA from 1 species